rnacentral:rRNA from 1 species
UAGAGUUUGAUUCUGGCUCAGGAUGAACGCUGGCGGUAUGCUUAACACAUGCAAGUCGAACGGAGUUCUUCGGAACUUAGUGGCGGACGGGUGAGUAACGCGUGAGAAUCUGGCAAAAGGUUCGGGACAACAGUUGGAAACGACUGCUAAUACCGGAUGUGCCUGUGGGUGAAAGAUUAAUCGCCUUUUGAUGAGCUCGCGUCUGAUUAGCUAGUAGGUGUGGUAAGAGCGCACCUAGGCGACGAUCAGUAGCUGGUCUGAGAGGAUGACCAGCCACACUGGGACUGAGACACGGCCCAGACUCCUACGGGAGGCAGCAGUGGGGAAUUUUCCGCAAUGGGCGAAAGCCUGACGGAGCAAUACCGCGUGAGGGAGGAAGGCUCUUGGGUUGUAAACCUCUUUUCUCAGGGAAUAAGAAAGUGAAGGUACUUGAGGAAUCAGCAUCGGCUAACUCCGUGCCAGCAGCCGCGGUAAU